GGAGGGUGUAGCUCAGUGGUAGAGUGUAGGCUCACCAUGCACAAGGUCCUGGGUUCAAUCCCCAGCACCUCCA